rnacentral:rRNA from 1 species
AGUGAACGCUGGCGGUAGGCCUAACACAUGCAAGUCGAACGGUAGCACAGGAGAGCUUGCUCUCUGGGUGGCGAGUGGCGGACGGGUGAGGAAUACAUCGGAAUCUACUCUGUCGUGGGGGAUAACGUAGGGAAACUUACGCUAAUACCGCAUACGACCUACGGGUGAAAGCAGGGGAUCUUCGGACCUUGCGCGAUUGAAUGAGCCGAUGUCGGAUUAGCUAGUUGGCGGGGUAAAGGCAAACAAAGGCGACGAGCCGGAGCUGGUCUGAGAGGAUGAUCAGCCACACUGGAACUGAGACACGGUCCAGACUCCUACGGGAGGCAGCAGUGGGGAAUAUUGGACAAUGGGCGCAAGCCUGAUCCAGCCAUACCGCGUGGGUGAAGAAGGCCUUCGGGUUGUAAAGCCCUUUUGUUGGGAAAGAAAUCCAGCUGGCUAAUACCCGGUUGGGAUGACGGUACCCAAAGAAUAAGCACCGGCUAACUUCGUGCCAGCCGCCGCCGUAA